UUCGCAAUGCCCGAAAGGGUGACGAAGCGACGCCGCGUGUGGGAAGAAGGCCUUCGGGUUGUAAACCACUGUCGGGAGUUAAGAAAUGCAAGGAUAUGAAUAGUGUCUUUGCUUGACUAAGGCUCCGGAGGAAGCCACGGCUAACUCUGUGCCAGCAGCCGCGGUAAUACAGAGGCGGCAAGCGUUGUUCGGAAUUAUUGGGCGUAAAGAGCACGUAGGCGGUUAUGUAAGUCGGUUGUGAAAGCCUUCCGCUCAACGGGAGAACAGCAUCCGAUACUACAUGGCUUGAGUGCGGGAGGGGAGAGUGGAACUUCUGGUGGAGCGGUGAAAUGCGUAGAUAUCAGAAGGAACGCCGGCGGCGAAAGCGGCUCUCUGGCCCAUAACUGACGCUGAGUGUGCGAAAGCUAGGGGAGCAAACGGGAUUAGAUACCCCGGUAGUCCUAGCCGUAAACGAUGGGCACUAAGUAGAGGGGUUUU
rnacentral:rRNA from 1 species